AAGCAGAAAUGAGGAGGGGUCCAGUGUUUCUCACAGCAACGUACGAGGCUCCUCCCACUGACUGCACAUGUGGCUGCUUCACAGCUGGAUUGCAGCUGUGAUCAUCAGACCCACAACAACAGUGUGUCAACUCUGAACAUGGACACACUCGCUGCACUUCUGUUCGUUUCAGCUCUCGUAGGUAACAGCUUGGAAGAUGAUAUUACUGCCAUCAGAACUGAAGUGUUUUCAUCAGAGGGUCGUAGCGUUACUCUCUCCUGUAAAUACUCAGUUAAAGCUGAUAAUCUCCAGUGGUACCGACAGGAUGCUGGAUCAGCUCCUCAGUAUCUACUCCUGAUCACUGAUACGAAACAGCCUGAAGUGAUUCAAGCAAAGCCCUCAAACCCUCGACUGACUGCUAAACUGAACGACCAGAGAAAUCAAGUGGAUCUGGAGAUCUCCUCUGCUGCAGUGUCUGACUCUGCUGUGUACUACUGUGCUCUGCAGCCCACAGUGACAGGAAACACCUCAACUCUGUACAAAAACCUCUGGAGCAAAGACAACACAAUACUCCACAGCAUCCACCAGAGGGAGACACUGUGAGAAACUUUAGGAGUUCAGACCAGGAAUGUUCAAACAAUUAAAACGAGACUCAUUCUGUUAAGGUUCUGCCUGAAAAUGGCAGAGCGUGUUGAAAAUAUAUAUGUAUCCAUUUACAGAAACUGGUAAAAAUGUUUAAUAAAAGAAUGAAACAACCAAAAACACUCCCAUACACAAAAGACUAAAACACGGAGAACUGGGAGGAAAAAUACUAUUGGCAAGAAACUUUGGCUCACAGGACUAGAUGAGAGAACAGAACUAAAUAGUCGGCAUGGCACCUUUGACAUGGACGACAACAACUGACAGGAAAUUCAUCCA